ensembl:lncRNA
ACUGCUUUCAAUUUUCAGUAAAAACUUGGAAAAGGCAAUGAUACAGCUGUAUGGGUACUGUUGAAUCAUGGUCUGAACCUCUGAUUGAUCAGCUGAGGCGAGCACUGAGCCAGCCGUGGGAGCACAGGUGAAGGCAAUUCACCUGUGUGACCAGAAGGGGUAGAGCCUGGCUCCACCUCUUCUAGACCCCAUAUAAGGGCUGACUGCCACUGGGGAAGGGUCUCUUUCUGGAUAUUGCUGCUCUUGGAGUUUUCUCAUGAGCCUACAACACAGAUUGUGAAGCAGCUCUCCAACAAGAAGAGAAACGCAAUACCUGAACCCAGGAACUCUUUCAGCAUUCAGUGAACCGCAGAAAGAUUUAGGAAAGAGGAAAGCAGAAAUGGGUGUGCUUUUUCCAUUUGUUUCAUGCGACAGAAGUUUCCUAGGAAGGGCCAGUCCUGUAAGAAAAGUAGCGGACAAAAUUACAUGGAUGAUACAGAUGGAGGGAGCACACAGGAAGAAGAGAAUGUUGUAUUACUGAGUUUGGACUCUCAGAGAAUGAUCAGAGGGGAAGGGACCUAGAGUCUGCCAAACUUUCAAGGGGAAGGUCAAGUGUUUGGCACACCAAACAAAGAAGAACUGUUUGGAUAAUGUAUAGAAGGAAGAGGAAAGGUGGAACUGGCAGCAGGGAAGCAAGUGGUUACAAUAGCAGGAAUGGGACUUAAUUUAUCUCUGUAAAAUGGAAUAAAAUCUGUUGUUAGAUAGCCAACUAGAUGGUAUGUUUCACUGAGAUUUUCCUGAAUUGAAACUGGCCUUUGUAUACUUUGAAAGGUGUUCUGUGAUCUUUAAAAGGAGAGUGAGCUGGCCAUAAGACAAGCCAAUAGAGUCCGCUUUACGGUACUAAAAAAGAUAGCUAUGUGUGACCCAGUUAAUUUUCACAUCUCUUCUCUUAAGAAACUGCUCCAUCAAAUAAUCAACUUUCUUUUUUAAUUUUGAAAUGGAAGAAACAGAAUAUGCUUCAUGGAACAUUUCUUUAAAAAAAAAGCCUUUUAAUAAAAAAAAAGGGAAAAAAGAAAAACAACACAUUUGCUGUGUGUAUCCAGCUAUCUGUGCUUUCUGUCACUUUGAACACUUUGGCCACCAGGUGUGGUCAGUGUUUUUGGACACUCCUAUCCGUCCCCAUGACCUUCUUAAUAUCUCUUCAUCCAAAUUGUUGCUGCUGCAUUUAUUCUUAGCAUUCAUAUAAAACAAUCCACUUUCAGAGUCUAUAUUCUCACAAAGACCCUUGAGUUAAUGGUGUAUGGAAAUUUCCACAGGGGUCUGCCUAUAAUGACUUCCAACUCACUAUUCCCAGAUUUGAGUUAGUAAAUCAGAAAGAUAUUUUCUUAUGUUUUUGGUGGGGAGGAGGAAUGACAGAGAGGAGAGAGAGAUCGCUGUUAAGUUUAGUAAAUGUAACCUCUUUGGCACUGCUUUUCCAUAUGCAGAGACCAAAUUCUUCCUUAUUCAUUUGUAAUCUUUUUGUUUUGCCCCACCCUUUUCUUCCCACCCUCUCAGUUAUGGGCAGGACCAAAUAUUAUGCUUAGUUGGCUCAUUGUGGAGUGAAAUAGAUUUUUAGUGGAGUUAAUUAAUGGAAUUUCUUUUACAUUUACAAUUACAUAGUUAAUGAAAGGGUCUGACCUCGGGAAGAUGCAUUGCCUUUUUUUGCUUUUGCUGAGCAUUGUUCCCAGUGACACAGCAGCCAUGUACAAAGGGGAAAAUAUAAAUUGCUUUUAAAGUGACAAAGUAAUGUAUUAAAAAAAAAAAAGAACAUUUAGUUUUGAAAACACAAAUCUUUCACUGAAUAAAUAUUUAUCUUGACUAUUUAUAAUGUCAAGUCAAGCGUAAGUGGUAUUAAUUUUGCAUGAAGGGAAGCCAAGUCUAGAAAUCCUAAGCAAAAUCUUGAGAUUGCAGAAAUGUUGAGUUCAAUGGAACAGCAGAUGUCUGAGCAGCGUGAAUGUUAAUUUUGCAGGGUAAGUCCAGUUUUGCUGGAUAAAGCAAUGAAAAUAUUUCACGUAACAGCUUUCAGUUAGUAGAGGUUUUGAAAUGUCUGAUUUUAUUUGUGUGAAAUUUAAG